UAGCAAGGUUAACCGAAUAGGGGAGCCGCAGGGAAACCGAGUCUUAACCGGGCGUUAAGUUGCAGGGUAUAGACCCGAAACCCGGUGAUCUAGCCAUGGGCAGGUUGAAGGUUGGGUAACACUAACUGGAGGACCGAACCGACUAAUGUUGAAAAAUUAGCGGAUGACCUGUGGCUGGGGGUGAAAGGCCAAUCAAACCGGGAGAUAGCUGGUUCUCCCCGAAAGCUAUUUAGGUAGCGCCUCGUGAAUUCAUCUCCGGGGGUAGAGCACUGUUUCGGCUAGGGGGCCAUCCCGGCUUACCAACCCGAUGCAAACUGCGAAUACCGGAGAAUGUUAUCACGGGAGACACACGGCGGGUGCUAACGUCCGUCGUGAAGAGGGAAACAACCCAGACCGCCAGCUAAGGUCCCAAAGUCAUGGUUAAGUGGGAAACGAUGUGGGAAGGCCCAGACAGCCAGGAUGUUGGCUUAGAAGCAGCCAUCAUUUAAAGAAAGCGUAAUAGCUCACUGGUCGAGUCGGCCUGCGCGGAAGAUGUAACGGGGCUAAACCAUGCACCGAA
rnacentral:rRNA from 1 species